rnacentral:lncRNA from 1 species
UGUCGGGAGGUGGGUUUUACGCCCCAGGCGAAUCAGCAACAACUUCCUACUGUCACAUGCAUAUGCAGGAUAAGACACCAUAUCGAUAAUGUAAAUGCUAGACAGUUGUCAGAAGGUGAGUUUUACGCCCCAGGCGAACCAGCAACAACUCCCUACUGUCACAUGCAUAUGCAGGAUAAGACACCACACUAAUCAUGUAAAUGCUGGCCAGUAUCCAGAACAGAAAUCCAUCUCACAUCUACAUACUAAACGGCACCUCGUGGGAAUUCUACAUCCGCGGAAAGCUAUACUGCACCUUGCAGGGUCUUACUAUGCCCGGCGGCAAGCAGAAUAUAAGUCGUAGGACCGGCCGAUCCUACGCCUAGGGCCGUGUCCCCCCCUAGGAAGGGACUGGGCUCCGCCCACCCAGAAGGCUACUAUGUGCACAAAGGCCGAUGUUCAACCCCAUCGACUAUAGGUGUCCUGCAGAUACUGCCAAGCCAUGCAUAAAUGCCAUAAUGCACCCUCUCAAUACUCAACUAAAA